GAGGCGUUGGUCAAGGUUAAUUUUGGUGGUGUGCGGCGGUGUGUAUGGAUUGCGGUAAUAUUCUUUGUCAAUAUAGUUCUGUGGCAGUGAUUCUCGGCUGACCGAUCCUUCAAAGGGGGGAGAUCAAGCGCCGUGGGUGUUUCGUGCAAGCGGUGUGCAGUGGGUAGUACCACUCUUCUCGAAGAAUGACAAAGGAUGCAUUGUGAAUGCCUGCCUACUAUACAAUUAUUAAUGGCAUGAUUUGUGCUCUUUCAACAGUCCACCAACUGCAGAUGUUGAGCGACCUCGCCAAAGAAGUUUUUUGUGUUGUGAACAGUGUGACUAUAAGACACUGCAUUUGAGCCAUUUCAAAACACAUACCAUGCGUCACACAGGAGAGCGACCGCAUGAAUGUCACUUGUGCCCCCAGAGAUUUUUACGAAGCCACCAUCUUGAAGAUCACGUGCGCACACACACGGGUGAACGGCCAUAUCAAUGCACCAAAUGCCUCAAGAGCUUCCGUACAAAGAAAACUCUAUCUCAACACGUGCGCAUUCAUACGGGCGAGCGUGCGUAUCAAUGCCACGUAUGCCUCAAGACCUUUGUACAACAGUCCUCACUGUACACCCACCGCAAAAUGCAUACAACCAAGCAUUCGCAUCUGUAACCUUCGUGCGCUGAGACGUUCGUGCAGAGUGUCCACUUAAGAAGACACCUCGAUCGGCCUGAAUGUGAGUGAUCAUAUCGGUGAAAGUUCGAUUGAAGGCUCACUUCACGGAUUAUUUCAAAGAAUUGUGGCAGUGCAGAUUUAUGUAGGCCUUUUAAAGCUGUGAGCUUUAGUUACGAUACCUUGGCUUCAUUAUUCGGAGCAAAGCAUAGUUAUUCAUGAAGUAAAGUCUCACAUGAAUAUUUUUAUUGUGCUCUAUUACUGAGUUGUUCAUUAACCAGUUUAGUACUAAGUUCACCAGUUUGUACUAAGCUCUAGGAAAAAAUUUUUUUGUACUGAUAUGCCACAGCACUUCUGCUUUGUCAAUUUAAGAUUUUUUGUGGUUCGAAUUCCUAACCUCCUCAAUGACUAUACCUUUACUAUAGAUCUCAAAUCCAGAAUGCGAAAGCAAGCAUAUCAAAAAACAAUCAAAGAAUUCUUAUUUUGAGAAGACUGAUGCAAAUAAAAAUAUACUAUGGUUCUGUAUGAAUGUUAUACAUUGUCCAUUUUUCUUUUUCUCUGCCCACAUGUGGAUUGCGAGCCCUACAAGUUGUUCUAAAAUUUUUUUGUAUGUGUGUUUAGAUGAGUAUAAUGCGAUUUUCUUUUUCUGCUCGAGAGUAGUGCGUACAUUUUUUUAAAUUGUACUUAUGUUUUCUUCUCUUUUUUGCUAUAUGACUGUGUAAUAUUGAUCAGAGGUGCAGUAUUUGAUUUCCAUGUACCCUUCUAUAUUUGUGAAUUUCUUUCUCUGGCUACUGCUGUAUGAGUGGCACGGGCCAGUCAGGCAAUGUCUGCCUUUUCCCGUGCCUCCUUGCACAAUUUUGUAAUUGUUCUCAAUAAAUUAAUAAAGAAAGAAAUCUUGAACAAGCAUAAACAGACACGAAACAAAGCACUUAACAGGUCAUCAUCUGUGUGCUUGUACAUUAUGUAAUAAUUAUUGUUAUCAUUUGAAUAUCCACAUAUGUGAUCGUGAUGCUUCACGGCAUUUUAAACAAUCAGGGACAGUUGCUACAGCAUAUGGAAGCAUUCAGUGGGUGAAACAAAAUAAACACAAAAACUUAAGCACAACUGAAUUAUUGUAUUGUCUUUUUGUUUUUGUGUUUCUUGUUCCUCCCGUUGUGUGCUUCUUUAUGCCGUAUUUAUCAACCUACAUGCCCACAAGUACAAUGUGAUCAGGGAAAAUAAGUGUGAUUGCAGUAACUACUAUGUCAACAGUGCAAGCAAUCUCUUGACAUCAAUAUCGUGGUUCAUAUAAAGUCCGUGUGCAAAUCAAUCGAGUCGCAUCCCACACUUUUAGUGCUGAGGAAUGUUGAAAAACGAGUGCAAGAAAGAGCACUAUCAUCACUCGCUUAAGCAUCUGGGAAAUAAAUGUAGAACAGAGUGCUGGCAUUGCAGGGAGUGGAACUCUGCCAUGCAGGUGUUGAUGCAAGGCACAACAUGUUGGGUGAGGUUUUCAGGGGAAUGAUGUGUCAUCUUGUGACCACUUCUUUGCACAAUAUGAAGUGACAGUGAAGACGGUACCGUCAUCGCACUUACUGUGGACACUUAUUUCUUGGUCAGCACUGUGCCACCAAGUGUUCACUGUCCUGUCUCUUGAGCGGUUCUGCCAUAACACUCAGCUUACAUUUCAAGUGAUCAACGAAUGUUUCCAAGGCUGUGCCAGCAAAGAUUUGUGGUCGCUUCGUGUGUGCACUUUUUGUCAACUUCUCCAAAACUCUGCUUGCCCAAUGUAGCUCUCUUUAAGCUCUCUUUAUCUUAGACAGAAUAAGGAGGGGCAAUCAUAUGUCUUUCAAUCUGUUACCUUCAUUCUUCCUAAGAGUAUUGUGAGUUACUGCUGGCAUUUUUCAAGUACUGUUAGUGUUCGCUUGUUGAUGUAAGUCAUUAUGCUCUUACAUUUAAUGACACCAUUAAUAACACCAUGUCAAUCACCAUCAUGCACUGAGGUCUUUGUGGAAGCUGUCCACUUUACAAGUAAUCUCAAUCAACAUGAUUGUAAGCAAUGAUAUCAACGAAGGUGCUGUUUUUGAAGCUAUUUAAGUGCCACGCUUGGUAGAUUGUUUCAGAGAAACGAGGCAGUGCUGAGUUACAGUGGGUCUUGUGAGAACUGUACCUUGUCGCGAUACACUGGCUGCAACAUUGUGAGCAGAGCAAUGUAAUGCAUGCCGUAAAGUCUCACAUUAUUAUUUUUGUUAUGCUUCACUGCUGUCACGCUCAUUAAUCAAUCUGUUAUUCAGUUUGUAAUAAGCUGUAUGAAAAUAUAUAUUUGUACUGAUGAGGUAACACACCUUUGCUUAGUCAAUUCGGGGUAUUUUGUGUGGAAGCUUGAGCAGACACGGAACAAUUAUUCUGGCUAGCAAGCCAUCAUCUUUGCAUGUGUACUAUAUGUCCUAAUAAGAUUAUCAUUACGGAAUCUUCAGGCGUGUCCGUGAUGCUUCACAGCUUUCUGACUAAUCGGGGCAAAUUGUUACGCCAUGUGGUAGCGCAUAGUGGACGGAGAGACGAACACAAAGACAACAUAGUGCUUGUAUUCUUUUUAUUUUCAAUGUUUGUUGUUUCUCCUGUUGUGCUCUACUAUAGGUCAGGAUAAACUAACUAGCCAAAAAGUACAAUUUAAUAAGGGAGGACACUCAUUGAAAAAUGUGUUCCAAUAACCACAAGUCUUAAUGUAAUAGCAGUGCAUUAAAUCUCUUGACAUCAA